rnacentral:rRNA from 1 species
GACGAACGCUGGCGGCGUGCCUAAUACAUGCAAGUAGAACGCUGAAGGAGGAGCUUGCUCUUCUGGAUGAGUUGCGAACGGGUGAGUAACGCGUAGGUAACCUGCCUGGUAGCGGGGGAUAACUAUUGGAAACGAUAGCUAAUACCGCAUAAGAGUAGAUGUUGCAUGACAUUUACUUAAAAGGUGCAAUUGCAUCACUACCAGAUGGACCUGCGUUGUAUUAGCUAGUUGGUGGGGUAACGGCUUACCAAGGCGACGAUACAUAGCCGACCUGAGAGGGUGAUCGGCCACACUGGGACUGAGACACGGCCCAGACUCCUACGGGAGGCAGCAGUAGGGAAUCUUCGGCAAUGGACGGAAGUCUGACCGAGCAACGCCGCGUGAGUGAAGAAGGUUUUCGGAUCGUAAAGCUCUGUCGUAAGAGAAGAACGAGUGUGAGAGUGGAAAGUUCACACUGUGACGGUAUCUUACCAGAAAGGGACGGCUAACUACGUG